rnacentral:rRNA from 1 species
AGAGUUUGAUCAUGGCUCAGGGUGAACGCUAGCUACAGGCUUAACACAUGCAAGUCGAGGGGAAACGACAUCGAAAGCUUGCUUUUGAGUGGGCGUCGACCGGCGCGACGGGUGAGUAACGCGUAUCCAACCUCGCCCACCACGUUGGGGAUAACCUUGCGAAAGUAAGACUAAUACCCAAUGAUAUCUCUAGAAGACAUCUGAAAGAGAUUAAAGAUUUAUCGGUGAUGGAUGGGGAUGCGUCUGAUUAGCUUGUUGGCGGGGUAACGGCCCACCAAGGCGACGAUCAGUAGGGGUUCUGAGAGGAAGGUCCCCCACAUUGGAACUGAGACACGGUCCAAACUCCUACGGGAGGCAGCA